UGCGCCCACCCACCUCAGGAAUGCCACAUGGCCUCGGGAGGGAAGCGGUGGGACCUGGGCUCCCGCAGCCCGCUUAGGGGCAGGAAGUGGCCCGCUCCUCCUUUCGGAGAGCAUUUCCGGAGCGCCUACUGUGUGCUCUUGGCCCGGGGUGGGGCCUUACAAAGGGAGAACUUUGCCAGUCCCGACGAUUGCGUGUGGGCCCCGCACCAGAACUCGGGUCCGCGCCGGGAUGGUUCACAUUGCUUGGAGGAGAAACUGAGGCCAGUUAGUCCCAGACUUACCCCCAGUUGGUAAGGUGCCCGGCUCAAAAUGCGAUUCCUGUUCUGUCCUUAAGGGCCCACAGACUGGAAUAAGGCUGCCCGGGAACUACCCCAAGCAGGUGCUCCCUAUGUUGCACAAGCUGAUCUCCAGCCCCUGGGCAUAAGUGAUCCUCCAGCCUCAGCCUCCCUGAGUAGCUCGGAAUGCAGGCAGGCACCAGUAACUGGUAUGUAUGUAUGUAUUGGUACUGGGAUUGAAAUCAGGGGCGCUGUACCACUGAGCUACACCCCCAGCCAGCCCUUUUUAUUUUUUGUUUCAAGACAGGUUUUUGCUAAGGCUCCUAAGUUGCUAAGGCUGGCUUCAAAUUUAUGAUCCUCCUACUUCAGCCACCUGCACAGGGUGGGGGUAGGAAUUACAGUAAAACCACAAAGUGACCAGGUCAACUCAGUUUUUUGUUUGGUUUUUGGUACCAGGGAUUGAACCCAGGGGCACUUGACCACUGAGCCACAUCCCCAGCCCCCUUUUAUACUUUAUUUAGAGACAGAGUCUCUUUUUUGUUGUUGUUUGGUACCAGGGAUUGAACUCAGGGGCACUUGACUACUGAGCCUCAUCCCCAGCCCUAUUUUGUAUUUUAUUUAGAGACUUGCUAAGUUGCUAAGGGCCUUGAUAAGUUGCUGAGGCUGGCUUUGAAUUUGUGAUCCUCCUGCCUCAGUCUCCCAAGCUACGGGAUUACUGGAGUGUUCGACCAUACUUGGCUUCAGUUUUUGGUCUUAAUUACACUUUAUCAGUGGAGAACUCUGGGAACAAAAGUUGAAAAUUUUUUUUCCCCCAAAUAAGUCCUAAGUCAAUAGGGUCACUGAUUAAAUGACUCUUAAGGUUCAUAUGGACUCCAAAGACACCAGAUUUCCUGCAAAUGCAUAGAACUAAGUUGGCCAGCUGCCUACUGUCCAAAAUGUCAAUGACGCUGCCCAGUUCUCUCCACUACACAGAUGGAGAAAGUGAGGCCCAGUAUGGUGGCCACACACAAUUUCUAGGCCAAGUUUGAUCUGCAGCCCUCUGAGAAAAAAAGGGAGGCUUGGGCAGUCUUAGGUAAGAAAGGUCAAACCAGUUGAGUCCUAACCUAGGGUUGCAGAGGAUGCAUGGGGCAAGGAUCUUUAGGAGGUGGGGAAUCUGGAGGGAAAAUAAAGGUCUAACCAGGUGAGCUUCCUAAGUCUGUUGAUGAAGACAGUGACUUCUCCCCACAACCUUUUUUUUUUGGUGUGUGUGUGUGUGUGGUGCUGGGGAUUGACUCAGGCCUUGUGCAUAUAAGGCAAGCACUCUACCAACAGAGCUGUGUCCCCAGCCCUCUCUCCUACCCCUUUGCCUGCAACUGACAAAGCCAGUCUGGAGCCCCUUCCUAGACCUGGAGGGGAGGGAGGGAAGGGAAAGAGGGAGGCUGGUUGUGUAUCAGGACUUCACAGAAACAAAUUCCCUGUCAAAACAGUAAGUUUUUAGAAGUUGUAAGCUAAUUUAGUCAUUUUUUUUUUUUUCCUUUUUUGUGGUGCUGGGGAUCAAACCCAGGGUCUUAUGCUAGGCAGGUACUGGACCACUGAGCUACAUCCCCAGCCCUGCUUUGGACAUAGUUGAUGAGAACUAUCAUGGGAAAACUUUUUCCAACUGUUAAAGUUGUUUUUGGAGACAGGUGUCCCACUAGAUGGCCUAGGCUAGCCUCAAACUCCUGAGCUCAAGUGAUCUGCCUCAGCAUCCUGAGUGGGACAACAUGUGUGUGCCACUGUGCCUGGCUCUGUCAUCCCGUUUUGCCACACAUUCUCUUUAUUAAAAAAUAAAUAAAAUAAAAUUACUGUAGUGGGCUGGGGGUUUAGUUCAGUGGUAGAACCCUUGUUAGCAUGCAUGUGGUCUUAGGUUUGAUCCCCAGCAAUACACACAUGCACACAUGCGCACACACACACUACUGUGGCAAGAAACCUCUCCUCCUUUUUUCCCCACACAUGAAGAAACUGUCCCUGAGAGAAGAGACUUGCCUCAUGAUGAGUGUAGGACCCAGUACUCCGGGAAAGAUCUGGGCUGAGAUAGGAGAGAUGAGUGGUUUCGAAGCCCAAUCUGAUCUGGCUCUCCAGAUCAUAAGUCAGUUUCUUGCCUGAAUACCAGAAAAUCCCAGAUCUCAGAGGCUCUUGGAUGUGGGACUUUGUGUGCCAGUUUCUGGCAUUGGUAGUUACACAGAUGCAAAUGAAUGUCAUAUGAAUUCACUUUCAUUAAAAAAAAAAAAGUUAGGGACUGGGGAUGUGGCUCAUUGGUAGAGCACUUGCCUAGCAUGUGCAGGGCCCUGGAUUCAAUCCCUAGCACUAUAAGAACAACAAAAACACUAGCUGCUGCCCUUUUUUGGAAGUGGGAACCACCAGGGCCAGCAUUCACUGAAAGCCACGUCUAGGCUUCAGCCUAUAGAAGUUGGGGCUCUCUGGGGUAUAAGAAAUAAGAAAUGCGUAUAGCAAAGUCCAGUGCAAAUGAGUGAUUAAAUAGAUAGCUUGGUUGGCCGGCCAGGUGGUAGGACCUUCAAAGUGGGGGACUUGGCAGCAUGAGCAGCAGGGCAUCCUGGGCAAGUUCCUGGGAUGGCUACUGAGGAGAGUUGGGAAGAGGCUGGAGGUGCAUGGCCAGAUAGGUCAGCUCUGGGUAAUGAGGCUGGAACUGCUAGAGACCUCCCUGGAGACGGGGGUUUGUAGCUGUCGUGUGGAUUUCCACUUAUCAACAUCUUUCUUCUUAAAAGUCUCCUGUUGCUGAACACAAUAGUGCAUGCCUAGAAUCCCAGCUACUGGGGAAGCUGAGGCAGGAAGAUCGUAAAUUCUAGGCCAGCCUUGGCAAUGAAGUGGGACCCUAUCUCAAAAAUAAAAGGGCUGGAGGUGUGGUGAACAGGUAGGGGAAAAAAGUCUCAUCUUGUUGGUCAAUCACAAUUGACUGAACUUUUUCUUAGUUAUUGGGCAUUUACUAACUUAAAUUUUUUUCUUUUGUGGUACUGGGGCUCAAACCCAGAGCCUUGCUGUUAACGACCCUUGCUAAAUUGCUGAGGCUGACUUUGAAUUUGCAAUCCUCCUGCCUUAGCUUCCAAAGUUUCUGGGAUUACAGACAUGGGCCAUCUUGGCAUUGAAGUGGGACCAUAUCUCAAAAUAAAAUUUUGGCCAUCAUACCCAAUUGAGGUUUAGGUGUCUUUUUUUUUUUAAUAUUUAUUUUUUAGUUGUAGUUGGACACAAUACCUUUAUUUCACUUAUUUAUUUUUAAGUGAUGCUGAGGAUCAAACCCAAGGUCUUGCACUUGCAAGGCAAGUGCUCUACCGCUGAGCCACAACCCCAGACCAGUUUAGGUGUCUUUGAAAGGUUCUAUGUAUAGACUCGAGAGUCUGUAAUUAUAGGUAUAUGUGGAUGUAUUUACACACAUACACAUAGGUGUAGGUGUGCUUGUUUACUCACAGUGUAGGCAACAUGGGGUUUAUCUUUCCUUCUCCCUAUUUUAACCUUUGUCAGUUUAACUCAUAAGGAGUAUUACUAAAACUGUGUAUGUUUGACAUGGAUUUUUAAAAAUUAAUUUAAAUUAAUUUAUUUUUGGGAUUGAAAUCAAGCGUGCUGUAUCAAUGAGCUACAUCCCCAGACUUUUUAAAAAUUUUAAUUUUAAGGCAGGGUCUCACUAAAUUUCCCACAUUAACCUUGAAUUUGUGAUCCUCCUGUCUCAGCCUCCUGAGCAGCUGGGAUUACAGACGCGCCAUCACGUCCAGUUUAGGAGCAGUAUCCUUACUUCUUAGAGGACAACAGACUGAUUUUGGUGAGGGAAGGAACACUUUGAAUGAAUUUCUGUAGUGGACACAAAUUCUCCCGCAGGAAGCAAUGAAGCUUGCACUUUAACAACCCCUCUUUCUCUUCCAAGGCCCUGGGAGUUGUUAUAUAUUUUUAUAAAAUUUAUAUAAAGUUAAGAAAUUUUAGCAGGUGUGGUGGUGCGUGCCUGUAAUUUCAGCAGCUCCAGAGCCAAGGCGGGAGGAUCGCAAGUUUAAAGCAGCUUCAGCAACUUAACAAGGCCUCAGCAAUUUAACAAGUGCUGGGGAUGUAGCUUUAGUGGUUAAGCAUCCCUGUGUUUAAAAUAAAAUAAAAAUUUAAUAACAAUCAGUUAAGACCACUGUUUUAUUCUACUAUUUCUCCUCCUCACUGUUCCCUUCUGUCAGGUGACCUUGUAUUGGCCCUGAACAUUUUUGUGCAUCUGGAAAGGCUGAGUUAUGAAUAUAUUUGAUUUAGGUUUCUUUACGUAGUUAGUACUCACUUCCAUGGACAGUUCAUAUAUGGCUAAGUGUCCUGGCAUUUGAAAGGCUGUCAUGCCUCAAAAGUUUCAGGAACAGAGUUCCAGUGCAAAGGCAUCUUGUGAGUGUAUAAUGGAGGCGCGUAAGUGAAGGAAGAUAAACAGUUUGAAAGGACUAGAGUUAGAAGAUAGUCUCCAGAAGAGUCUUCAAACCACGACAGCUAUACAAAUGGAAAUGGAGGACUCAGUUCUUACCUAUGCUCACUAAGAAGGGGAGUUUUCUGCUCCCCGGAAUGUAUUUGAUAACACAGUGAAUACUAGUAUACUUGGACAUGUUAGAAGACUGAAUUAUUGUUAUUUUCUCAACAUAAAAUGAUAUUACAAAACCAUUGUAUUAUGAAGGACAAUGAAAGAGUAUACCCAGCUGGGCACAGUGGCCUGCACCUGUAGUCGCAGCUUCUCAGGAACGUGAGGCCAGACUGGGCAAAAUAACAAGACUCCAUCUCAAAAAAAGAAGACAAGAAGAGCAGGCCCCCCAAAAGUAGAAAAGAUAAUACUAUGUUGUUUUUCUUGAGUUUGUGAUAUGGCAUUUGUCAGCUUUUAAAAAUGUAUGAUUUCAUCGGGCCAGUGGCACGUGCCCAUAAUCUCAGUGGCUUAGGAGGCUGAGGCAGGAGGAUUGAGAAUUCAAAGCCAGCCUCAGCAACUUAUUGAGGCCCUAAGCAACUCAGUGAGACCUUGUCUCUAAAUAAAAUACAAAAUAGGGCUGGGGAUGUGGCUCAGUGGUCCAGUGUCCCUGAGUUUAAUCCCUGGUACCAAAAAAAAAAAAAAGUAUGAUUUCUGCUGGGCACUGUGGUGCACACCCCUAAUUCUAGCAAUUUGGGAGCUGAGUCAACAGGAUUGCAAGGUUGAGGCCAGUGUUAGCAAUUUAGCAAGGCUCUAAGCAACUUAACAAGACUGUCUCAAAAUAAAAAUAAAUACAAAGGGCAGGGGUUGUCACUUACUGGUAAAGUCCCUCUGGGUUCAAUUCCCAUUACCAGGAAAAAAAAAAAAAAAAGGGAAAAAAGUUUAGUGAUACGCUAAACAGCUAGUGAGACCCUGUCCCAAAAUAAAAAAUAAAACGUGCUGGGAAUGUAGCUCGUAGUAAAGUGCCUCUGGGGUCAAUUCCCAGUAACUUCCACCCCAAAAUUAUGAUUUCUUAUUUUGAAUAAAUAGUCUAUUUGUGCCAGAUUAUGUGUAUUUUUUUUUCUUAAUGAGAGUUCCAAAAAUUACAUAAGGGCUGGGGCUGGGUCUCAGUGGUAGAGCACUUGCCUAGCAUGCAUGAGGCCCUGGGUUCCAUCCUCAGCACUGCAAAAAACAAAAUGUACCUUUCAGGUCCCACAGAACCUCUAUCUGCCUUCAGCCCUCAGGGUGACUAUCUUGGCAAAGAUUAAGCUUCUCUGUUUUGGAAGACCUGGUUACAACUUGUCUCCUCUAGCCCUUUGGAAAAUGAAAAUGUCUUGGCCUUUAACUUGAUUUUGAUUAAAAUAAGACUUUAUAAGGCCAGAACUUUUGCAGAUUGAGGUGUGACUAUAGUACUAGAUUUCAUUUCCCUCCUCCACAUACUGUGAAUCUUAGCAACCCCAGCAUAGGAAUUUUUCCUCUUGUUAAAGUACUUCACAGCUUCUGUUUAGCAUAUCUGAAUUGCCAGCAUCACUCCUCUUGUGUUUGGGGGCCAUUAGUAAGUAAAGUAAGAGUUACUUGAACACAAGCACUGUGUCACUGUCAGGGCCAAUGUAAUAACCAGGCUGGCUGCAGAUGGGCAGGUGGUUUACACAGGGUGGUUACCUUGGAAGGGGAACCUUUUUUGUGUGGCCUGGCCAUAGCCCUCGGGGUAGGCAAGUGCUCCUACCAGCCAUUUUUUUUCUUUUUUUCUUUUCUUUUUUUUUCAUUUUGAGACAUAUCUCAUUAAAUUGCCCAGGCUGGCCUCAAAUUUGGGAUCUUCUUGUCUCAGAUUUACAAAUAGCUAGGAUUAUGGGAUUACAAGCAAGGGACACCACACCCAGCUAAAAUCUUUCUCCUUUUGUUUUGUAAAAACAGGCCUUUUUCUAGAGAGGCAUGCUUGUGCUCACCUAUAAUUCCUGCAGCUCAGGAGACUGAGGCAGAUUGCAAGUUUGAGGCCAGCCUGAACAAUUUAAUUUAGCAAGACCUUAUUGCAAAAUUUAGAAAAUUUUUUUCCACAUUUUUUAUUAGUGCAUUGUAGUUGUAGAUAUGAGACAACCCCUACACACAUACACUUUCUUUUCCAAUUUUCGCUCUAACUAGAGAGAAAACAUACAGCUCUUGACCUUGAGUUUGGCUUAUUUUGCUUAACCUAAUGGUCUCUAGUUCUAUCCAUUUUCCUGCAAAUGACAUAGUUUCAUUUUUAUUUGUAACAGAAUAAAUCUCCAUUGUAUAUGUAUGUAUGUAUGUGUGUGUGUGUGUGUGUAUAUAUAUAUAUGUAUAUAUAUAUAUAUAUAUAUAUAUAUAUACCACAUUUUCUUUAUCCAUUCAUCCAUUGAUGGCCAGACACCUGGCUGGGCUGGUUCUAUAGUUUGGCUAUUAUGACUUGUGCUGCUAUAAACAUGGGUGUGUGUUUAUUGCUACAGCAUGAUGCCUUUAAUUAAUUAAUUUAUUUAUUUUGGUGGGGGAUACCGGGUAUUGAACUCAGGGGCACUCGACCACUGAGCCACAUCCCAGCCUAUUUUGUAUUUUAUUUAGAGACAGGGUCUCACUGAGUUGCUUAGCACCUCUCUUUUGCCGAGGCUGGCUUGGAACUCUCAAUACUCCUGCCUCAGCCUCCUGAGCUGCUGGGAUUACAGGCCUGCACCACCACACCCAGCUAAUCUAUCUUUCUAUCUGUCUGUCUGUCUGUCUAUCUAUCUAUCUAUUUAUUGGUACUACAGAUUUAACCCAGGGCACUGUACCACUGAGCUACAUUCCAAGCCCUUUUUAUUUUUUAUUUUGAGACAAGUGCUCAAAAAAUUGCUUAGGGUCUCACAAAAUUGCUGAGACUGACCUCAAACUUGCAAUUCUGCCUCAGCCCCCAAGUCAGGCAUGUGUUGCCACCUUGCCCAACUGGGACCAAAUCUUUGAAGAGAUUAGUGAUGCCAUCUUCACAGAUGUCAAAGGAGGGGCUCAGUCAGUUCAUGGUGGAGCAGGUUUCUCAAGCCCCUGUCCUGAGGUGCAUCUGGACUCCAGUGAGCCCAAGGUGGGCGCACCUUGGGUUCCCUUCCUUCCCUGAGCCCAGCUUCCCAUCUGGGAAAUGGGAAUAACAACAUUCUCCUGAGAGAGAAGUGACAGAAUGGGGCUGGGGCUCAGCUCAGUGGGAGAGCCCUUGCCUAGCAUGCGGGAGGCCUUGGGUUCAGUCUCCAGCACCACCAAAAAUAAAAAAGAGAGAGAGAGAGAAAAUGUUUGGUCCAUCCUUUGCUGAGUGCUUGGCAACUAGUAAGAGAAAAUUAUAGAAAAUAUCUUGCUAGUCACAUUUUAUGACUUCCUGCAAUUAUUUCAUUAGUGUUUCAUAAAUCUUUUGAGAGUUUCAUAUGGGAAAGUCUGGCUCUGUACUUAGUCACCUCAACAGCAAUAGAAUGCUCAUUUUUUUGCCUGAAAUAGCAGGAAGCACCACAGAGAAAUCUGUCAUUUUUGGUAGCAAAUAAAGCAUGUGCCACACACUUGUAAAUGUA